rnacentral:rRNA from 1 species
UGGGGAAUCUUGCACAAUGGGGGCAACCCUGAUGCAGCGACGCCGCGUGAGCGAUGAAGCCCUUCGGGGCGUAAAGCUCUUUCGACCGGAACGAUAAUGACGGUACCGGGAGAAGAAGCUGCGGCUAACUACGUGCCAGCAGCCGCGGUAAUACGUAGGCAGCAAGCGUUGUUCGGAGUUACUGGGCGUAAAGAGUGCGUAGGCGGUUUCCUAAGUUCGGUGUGAAAUCUCCCGGCUUAACUGGGAGGGUGCGCCGAAGACUGGGAAGCUGGAGUGUGGGAAAGGCAGGCGGAAUUCCUGGUGUAGCGGUGAAAUGCGUAGAUAUCAGGAGGAACACCGGCGGUGUAGACGGCUUGCUAGACCAUAACUGACGCUGAGGCACGAAAGCGUGGGUAGCAAACA